AACGUGCACUGGGUCGUUGAAUCAAUAAUCGAUGGGCCGGCCAUUUUGAAUCAGGGAUUCCUCAGCGCUGGUACGGCAUAUGUGGACGAUUCACGUUGCGCCAUCGACGCUCUCCGCCAUUUAAAGCAGUUCCACCAUUCUCUCACUCUGGAAUAUCAACAAAAACUUUACGAGGUGCAGAUGAUGGAAUAGUUUUGGGAUUUGGAAAGGAAAGGGGCUGAGAAUAGAAUGGCAUGACAUCUACGAGGAUCAGUAAUUAAAGUGCAAAUUUUGACGGA